rnacentral:rRNA from 1 species
GUGCCAGCAGCCGCGGUAACACGUAGGGACCAAGCGUUGUCCGGAUUUAUUGGGCGUAAAGAGCUCGUAGGCGGUUCAGUCAGUCGGGUGUGAAAACUUCGGGCUUAACUCGAAGCAUGCAUCCGAUACUGCUGUGACUUGAGUCCGGUAGGGGAGUGGGGAAUUCCUGGUGUAGCGGUGAAAUGCGCAGAUAUCAGGAGGAACACCGGUGGCGAAGGCGCCACUCUGGGCCGGUACUGACGCUGAGGAGCGAAAGCGUGGGUAGCAAACAGGAUUAGAAACCCGUGUAGUCC